rnacentral:rRNA from 1 species
AGGAUCAUUAAUGAGUUGUAACGGGGUUUGAUGCUGGCAGACCAAUUUUUUUUUUUGGGAUGCAUGUGCUCNCCCCAACAAUCAUUUUCCAAACACCCGUGCACAUUUUUGAGGGAGCUUCNAGUUUGAUUGCCUCUUUUUGGGCGAUUUUCUUGCAUCCCCCCUCAAACUUCAUUAUACGCUGUUAACAAUGCUGAACGUGCUUUGUGCCGCAAGGCCUUAAACAUUAAUACAACUUUUAACAACGGAUCUCUUGGCUCUCGCAUCGAUGAAGGACGCAGCGAAAUGCGAUAAGUAAUGUGAAUUGCAGAAUUCAGUGAAUCAUCGAAUCUUUGAACGCACCUUGCGCUCCCUGGUAUUCCGGGGAGCACGCCUGUUCGAGUGUCGCGAAAAUUCCUCAAGCUUUGGAUGGCUUUUUUGUCUGUCCUUGGGCUUGGUUGUUGGGCUCUGCCGUGUCCUUCAUUGGGACGGCUGGCCUUAAAAGCAUUAGCCGAUCCUCGUGUGGUACUGGUUCUACUCAGCGUGAUAACAGUCUGAUCGUUGAGGACAUCUUCUGGAUGGCCAGUCCUCAUUUGGGUUGCUUCUAAACCGGUUUCGCAGAUUGCUCNAUCUGUGUGCCACUUUC